GAUGAACGCUAGCUACAGGCUUAACACAUGCAAGUCGAGGGACCGGCGCACGGGUGAGUAACACGUAUCCAACCUGCCCUUUACUCGGGGAUAGCCUUUCGAAAGAAAGAUUAAUACCCGAUGUAAAGGACGGGGAUGCGUUCCAUUAGGUUGUUGGUGAGGUAACGGAUCACCAAGCCUUCGAUGGAUAGGGGUUCUGAGAGGAAGGUCCCCCGCAUUGGAACUGAGACCCGGUCCAAACUCCUACGGGAGGCAGGAGUGAGGAAUAUUGGUCAAUGGGCGUUAGCCUGAACCAGCUAAGUAGCGUGAAGGAUGAAGGCUUAUGGGUCGUAAACUUCUUUUAUAUAAGAAUAUGUAUUAUAUGAAUAAGGAUCGGCUAACUCCGUGCCAGCCGCGGCGGUAAUUC
rnacentral:rRNA from 1 species